AUAAUAAUUAGUCUUUUAAUUGAAGGCUGGAAUGAAUGAUUGAACGAGAUAUUUACUGUCUCAAAUAAAUUAUUUUUUGAAUUUUAUUUUUAAGUUAAAAAGCUUAAAUUAUAUUAGAGGACGAGAAGACCCUAUAGAGUUUUAUAAUUUAUUAAUAAAAUAUUUUUUAUUUAUAUAAUUUAUUAAUUAAUUAUUAUGUUGGGGCGACAGGAAAAUUUAAUAAACUUUUUUAAUUUAAAUACAUUAAUAUAUGAAUUUUUGAUCCUAAAUUUCUAGAUUAUUAGAUUAAGUUACCUUAGGGAUA
rnacentral:rRNA from 1 species